rnacentral:lncRNA from 1 species
UUUAAAUCAUACAAAAUAUACUUCCAAAUUCUACCUAAAUGGUCAAAUACAUAUGAGACUUUGUGCCUAAAACUUAGCACGCAUACACAUCUCAAUUCCAAUCAUUUAGUACCAAAACACAAUUUCACAAACAAGGCAUUCAUAUAACCUCUAUACACCACAUAACAUAAGGACAUUUAUACAUAUACACAUAUCAAAAUAUAUGACCACUUUACAAGUAAACUCAAAUGGUCAAAACUCAACAAGACAUAUAGGCCACAUUAGCCAACAUACCUAUACAUGCCAUUUAACCAAAAUAUAUAGAGUCCAAAGUACCAAAAUAAGUUUUUGAUAGUGUAAUGCGAUCCUUGACGUCUUUCAAUCCGAACGAGCUUCCGAGACACUAAAAAAACAUGAAAAAAUAAACGGAGUAAGCAAUUAAGCUUAGUAAAUUCGUAAUACGUAGAAUUAAACUUACCAUAUAACCACAAUUUUAGGCAAGUAACUCAAUUCAAUUUGGCCAAAGCCUAUCAUAUAGCCAUUCACCAAAUUAGUCAUGCAUACAUAUAAAACCGAGAAUCAUGCAUGAAUUCAACAAUUACUGGAAUUCCAUGUACUUGUAACAUUUUUACCACAUAUCUAUAUAUAAAAUAUAUAAAUCAUCUCUAUGUAACUACCUGCAAUAUUUCACAUCUAACUUAUAUAACCUCGUAAUACACUACACCCGUUGAACCACUUAGAAUCUCAUUAGAUACGCGGGUAAUACACACGAGGUGUGCUGGACUAUAAUCUGUAAAUUCCUGAACAUGUAGGCUCAUACGAGCGAUAAACGGUAAGCUCCUCCGAGCUGAAUAUCGGUAAGCUCAUACAAGCUGUGGUGAGUCCACAACACAUGCAAGACUUCAACCAAAAUGGUAACCCUAAUGACAUGUCAUUUGUAUCCUACGAAUUCUUAAGGUUCAACAGGGCUCGGUAUUUCUCCGUACUUCAUCAGUUAUGCAUUCGAUAAUUUAUACAUCAUAAUUACACAAUUUAGUACAUAUAUUUUUAAUUAAAGUAUAUAAAUACACAAUUUAAUUUUAUGAACUUACCUCAAACUAGUAUGACAGAAAAUGAUCGUUUAUUCGAUAACUUUGUCCUUUCCCUAAUCUAAUUCCUUUCGUUGCUUUUCUUGAUCUAUAUAAUCAAAUUAACUAUUUUAAUCAUUAUUCUAUUAAAUUAAAUCCAAAAAUUCAGGUUUUGACAAAAUUACUAUUUUCCCCUAUACUUUUAACCUUUUUACAAUUUAGUCCCUAGGCUCGUAAAAUGAUAUUCAUGAAAUUUGACCCUUAACCAAGCCUAGCCAAAAUUUCAUAUACACUUAUAUCAGCCCAUACAAUCCAAAAUUUCACACAUUUAACACACAAUUUUCAUAUUUCACAAUUUAACCCCUAAAUGGUAAUUUUAUUAAAAAUCCCUUAACAAAAGUUGUUUAAUUAACAACAAAGACUCAUUUUAUUCCAAUAAAAUUCUAAACCCUAACAUAUGCAUCAAUUAUAAAACCCUAGGCUUUCAACCAUUUUACAAAUUAGUCCCCUAUUUAGCUAGAUUAAGCUACAAAGAUACCAAAAAUGUAAAAAUCAACAAAAAUGAGACAAUGAAUCACUUACAUGCAAAGAGAAAGCUUGAAUAAAAUCUCUUCUCCCCUCAUAUGGUGAUAUUCAGCCAACACCAAAAGAAAUGGGAGAAAGAUGAUAGCUAUUUGUUUUACUAAUUUGGCCUUUAAUUACCUAAUUACCUUUUUGCCCUUACCUAACUUUAAAAUUUUCAUAAAUACCAAGCCAUGCUCAUCCAAUAACUCAAAUAAUGGUUCAAUUACCACAAAAGGACUUUCACUUUAAGGUUCUAUAGCUAUUUAACACUUUUAGCUAAUAGAACACAACUUUCGCUCUUUACGCGACUCAGUCCUUUUUCACAAAUUGAGCAUACAAAUGGUAAAAUUUCUUAACAAAAUUUUUAUAACAUAAUUCUAACAUGCUGUAGAUAUUAAAAUAAUUUUAAAAUAUUUUUUUCAACUUCGGAUUUGUGAUCCCAAAACCACUAUUUUGAUUUCACUAAAAACGGACUGUUACACCUACACAUCUAUCCGCUACAUACAACGAGUUCUCCAAAAUGCUUCACCUGAACACCAAAAAUAGCAAGAGUCGAAGGAAAGAAAUCGACGUUAGAUCUUAUAUAUAUACAACACUUACACUACUCGAUUCAGAUCUGUGAUGAUUGGAAUGUAGAACUGACAAUAAAUAAAAGGAAAGGAAAGGUGAUUGAGGAGCUUUAAGGGGAGAAAAUGGUGUGAAAAAUGGGCAGUAACUAUUCAACUAACAAUUGAUGGUAGAUGCGGCCAUAUCAGAUCUGUGAUGAUUGGAAUGUAGAACUGACAAUAAAUAAAAGGAAAGGAAAGGUGAUUGAGGAGCUUUAAGGGGAGAAAAUGGUGUGAAAAAUGGGCAGUAACUAUUCAACUAACAAUUGAUGGUAGAUGCGGCCAUAACAAAGAAAGAUAAACAAAGAGAGAGUGGAAGGUUUCCAAUGGACAGCGACAAGAAUAGUGGUUGUUCACUUGGGAGGUGUCAACAAUGGAAGGAAAAAGAAGAAUAUGGAAGGAAAUUAGGACUUAGGAGCGGUACAAUGAAAAAGAAAGGGAAAGUAAAUUCACGGAAGAGAGGGAGAAAAAUGGGUGGGACGGUAGAGAGGGUGAACAAAAAGAGGCUGAAAUGAAAAGAAAAAUACAUUUAAUACCUAGGGUUACAAUAUGGGGUGACAAUUGCUAGGGUUUUGGGAAAAAAACUGAAAAUAAAAAUUAUGCAAAAGAGGGGGAAUUGAACUCAAGUCUCAAGAACAUUUUACUAACUCUUAACCAUCUAACCAAUAACUUAAUCUUGCUAUAAUAAUGCAAUGUUAAUAAUAAAAAUUCAGGAUGUGACAAAUUCUCUUUUGUUUAAUGCUUGAAUAUCUCUCACUUGAGUAUUGAAAUGUUCUUGAUGAGUAUUUAUACAAAUUGUUUAUAGUUGUUAGGUUUUUUUGGAGCCAUUUGGAACAUUAGUUUUGGGUUCAAAAAGUGUUCCUGUUGCUUAUGUUUCAAUGCUAAAAAGUAUGUAUUGGUACAUCUCAUAAAAAAUAGUCAUUAGAAAAUUCUCGUACACGAACAUAGCUCAUUUUCUGAUACAAAAUGUAUAGGAACAUAUAUAUGUUUUGAUACCUUUCAAGUCAAUAGCUUACGGAUUCUUUAUGUUCUGAUACAUUUGAAUAUGUAUCGAAACUAGGUUAUAGGUUUUUAUAAAUCAAUUUAAAUACCUUAGAACACUUUGGUAUUGAUUCAAAAUAUUUAGAAAAUUUAAAACAUGUUUGAAACAUGUUUUUGAGUACUUUGUAAGUCUUUAAAAAUGUUUGAUAAAAAUUUCAACCAUAUUUUCUCCAAAUGACUUAAGAAAUAUAAUAUACAAAAUUUGUCUUAAAUGUUAUUAUAUGAAAAACUUGGGAUAUCAAAGCUAACAAUAUUGAUUUCUCAAUAUAAAUGAUAUGAAACUAAUUUCUAUUCCUUACAGAUUUCGUAAUAUUGAUAAUUUCAAUCAUAAAAAUAGUAAACUCGCCAUUGUUACACAUUAAAUUAUAAAGUGUAAUGGUGACAAAUUUUUUGUAACAAAAGGUAAAUUUUAUCAUGACAAAUAUUUUUUUAUCCCUCACAAUGGUGAUUAAUAAUAUAGACUACUAGAUAUAUUAUCACUAUUACAUCAUUUUUGAGGAAAAACUUGGUGUUGAUUUUCAGCAGUGAAGAAUUGAGUUAGUCACAAUUACACGCAAUGGGGAUUUAUUUGUGAAAUAAUUUGAACUGUCAUAAUUAUUGUCAUAAUAGCAAUAAAUAUAAAUAAAUCACAAUGACUUACUUUACUAUUGUAAGAGAUAGAAGUUGUCACAAAUAAUUUAAUAUUUGUUGCUAAAUCUUUCAUGAUCAUAAUUAAAAAUCUUAAUGCUAUAGUGGGUAGGAGUAUCACUUUUUUUCAUAUGUUUAAUAUAUGAAUUAAUAAUAAAUUGAUAAAUUUUUAAUCACUCACAUAAUUUAUCUAUUGUAAAGAGAAUGAUUUUUUAUUUUAUUUUUCUAAACAUAUUUUAUUUUCUACAAGAGUUAUACUCAUCUUUCUAAUUUUAAAUUUAAUUUAUAUUAAUUAUUUUUUUAUUUUAUGUCUAAAUUUUUUAACACAUAUGUACUAAAAUAUUUUUUAUGGUACAAAAUGUGUCAAAAUUAUUAAAAUUUUUACGUGUGAGAAUAGUGAGAAAAUUAAAUAGAAUUUUGCACAUAAAAUACUAUUUAUGUAAAUGUUUUAGGCUCUCUCACAUUUACAUUUUCUUCAAUAACACAGCAAUCAAACCCAAAAAGAAAACAUUAUCGUAUUUUUCACAAAAUUCAUUCUCGUGUGAUGCAUGAAUUUAUUAUAUUUUUUGAUUAAAUAUAUUAAAUAAUUAUUUACUUCAUAAUGUUGAGAAGCAUUAUCUUUCUUAAUUUAAAUACUCUGUUUCCUUACAUAUAUGUAAACCUAAUGCUUGGAAUUAUUAUAUUUAAUAAGUAAAAUAUAUUAAAUAAUUAUUAAUUUCAUAAUAGUAGGAAAAAGACAUUAUAUUUUUUUAGCAUACAUAUGAUAUAUGAUAUAUAUAAUCAACAAAAAUAAAAAAUUACUUCUUUUUUCUUGUUUUUUAUUCGAUGAUUUCUAUAAAAAUACAUGUUAUAUUUUAUAUUUGAUUUUUUAAUUAAUUUACAUUAAAUAUUAUAUAAUGUGAUUAAAUUAAACUAAAAUUUUAUAAAAUUAAGUUAAUAGUGAGACCUAUAAUUGUAAGCUAAUACUUAAAUUUAAAUAAGUAAUUUAAAACUCGAGUUUUUGUAAAAUGUUCAUGUUCAUUACUUUUUUUUCUCAUUUGUUGUAUGAUAAAUUCAACAAAAAUAAAUGUUAUAUGCAUAUUUAAUCCUUAAAUUAAAUUAAUGAUUGUAUAAUAUAAUUAAAUUAAGUUAAUAAUAAUUAUAGGUUUAUAAUGAAUCAACUAUUUUAAGAAUUCAAAAAAUUAAUCUAGAAUUCAAAAUUUGUUAUGUUAUUUUCUAAUAUUUGAUCACAAUCAAAUCUUUGGUUAAGAAAAUUUUAAAACAAAGAUAAAAUAAGGCCAAAAGUGCUCUCCAUAGUGUCCUAGAGAGAGUGGUAACUGCCGCAGCUUAGGAUGGAGGAGGGUGCUGGCGAGAAGAGGGAAAGCAAUGAGGAGAUAUCCUUGCAUGCAAAAGAACUCAUUCAAUUAUGAGUAAAGAGUUCAAUGGUGAUGCCAAACGAUAAAUCGACUUCGAUCUUCUUAGUUUGGACAAAAAAGUCUUUCAAUCCAGAAAGCUUUAGGACACAGAUGAAAAGCAUAUGGAAAACAAAGAAAAAGUUUGAGAUUCAAUUGGCAGGACAAAAUCUGUUCUUAUUUGUUUUUGAUCUAGAAGAAGAUUUGGAGACAGUUUUGGAAGGAAGACCCUGGUUAUUUCGUAAGAACAUUAUUCUAUUUGAUCGACUGACUAGAUCGAUUGCGAGAGAUUAGAUUUGUCUUAUUCAUUCACCGUUCUGGAUCAAAAUUGGUACGUACUUACCAGAAUUUGAUAGGAAGGAUUUAAUGCAUGCUAUAGGCAGUACUUUUGGGGGAAUUUUGAGGUCUGAAAUUAAUGGUGAUAAUUGUAGACUUAGUUAACCUGAAUGUACAGAAACCUCUUUGGAGAGGGAUUUUUGUCUUAAGUGAUAACAGGGUAAAAUCGUGGAUUUCUUUCAAAUAUGAGAAAUUGCCGAUUUUCUGUUUCAGGUACAGUAGAAUGGGGCAUAGUCUCACUGACAAAAUUAAAUGAUCCACCAUACUCUAUAGCAUUGAAAACCGAAUCAAAUUUGGCAGGGAAGGAGAGUAUAAAAUUAAAUGCUUUUGCAAAAAGACGGGUACUCAAGCUUCUUACAUAGGUACAAUGGUAAAAGAACCAGAUGAUAAUGACAUGGCUGCAGAAUAUAUAGUUUUGCAAGGAGAGGUAAUAGGCGGAAGGCAAUUGGCAAGCUGGUUGGAAGGGUUACAGGAACAGGAGUCAGGUUGUAAUAAGUUGGAGAUUGGCGCGGUGAAUGCUAGCAAUAUGGAGAUGGGCAGAUCUCUAGUCGCACUUAAGAAGUCUAGUUGGAGAAGAUUAAUUCCAGCAAAUCAGUCUGAAAACUGGAGGUAAGAAAGUUUGGGGGGGAAUAGAAAAUUUCCAGAAUUGGCUGAUGGAAAAAACGAUACAGAAGUGUCAGAUGGGGAUGGAGUAAAGAGGUUGAAAGUGGAAUAGCUAGCGGUUAGAAGAGAGGCUCAAAGCUGUAAAAUGAUGGAUGUUACAGUAUAUAAUGUGAUGCCAAGUGAAUUAGGAUCGGCGGCUACCAACAAGUCAGCCUACUGGACACAAUGAAAAACUUAUGCUGGAAUGUCUGUGGAUUGGGGAGUCCACGAGUAGUACGGAGGCUGCGGCAUUUAUUUAAGCAGCAUAAUCCCCAUAUGGUCUUCUUAAUGGAGACGAAAUUAGACAAAAAAACGUAUGGAAAAAGUUAGAAGGAGCUGUGGUUUUUUUAGUAGAAUUGAAGUAGAAGCAGAGAGGAUUCGUGGAGGAUUGUGUUUAGCAUGGAAGAGUGACGUCAAGGUAAAUGUACAGAGCUUUUCUAAGUGGCAGAUUGAUGUUCUGAUUCAGGAGAAUGAUAGCCAAGAAGAGUAGAGAUUUACGGGGUUCUAUGAUUCACCAUAUCUAAAAAACAAGAGUAACGUAUGGGAUUUGCUCAGAAGAUUAGGCCUAGAAGAUAAUCAUCCCUGGCUUGUUGCUGGAGAUUUCAACGAAAUUUUGUAUUCUUUAAAGAAAUCUGGGGGAGUUCAAAGAGAUCAGAGGAGGAUGGAGGCAUUUAGGGAGGUUUUGGAGGAGUGUCAAUUAAUGGAUAUUGGUUACAUGGGGGUUUGGUUUACUUGGGAGAGAGGUAAUAUGCCAGAAACAAACAUAAGGGAGAGGCUGGAUAGAGGGGUCGCAAAUGAAAAGUUGUUAACUUUAUUUCCAAUGGGCAGUAUACAACAUCUUCCUUAUUUAACAUCAGAUCACUGUCCCAUUCUCCUUAAUACAGAAAGUGACAAUACUGCCAAAAGAAGUCAAAGAUUUCAUUUUGAGGCCUGGUGGACCGUAGAGGAGACAAUCGAACUCGUAAUCAAGGAAUCUUGGGAGUCUACUACAGGUCCGUUAAUUGAGAAACUAGAAGGAUUACAAGCUCGAUUGGAAAUAUGGGCAAGCAACAUUAAAAGGAAAAAGGUAGAGUCUGAAAAGGAAGUUAACCAAGGAGCUCAACAGUUUGGUAGAGAAGGAAAGGGAUGAUGAAACGCUAGCACGGAUUAUCGACACAAAAAUCCACCUUAAUAUGGAGAUAGAUAAAGGCUAAUUGUACUGGGAGCAACGAGCCAGAUACAUUUGGCUCUAAUUUGGGGUUAGAAUUACGGCCUAUUUCCAUAAAAUUGCGUCAGCUCAUAGGAGAGCUAACACAAUUUCUAAGCUGGUUUCGGAUGCCGAGAGGGAAAUUACGAAUGAGCUAGAGACUAAUGAGAAUGCCACUUGGUUUUUUUAAGAGCUCUUCACAACAACGGCAAGUGGUGACCCAAGUCAUUUGCUAACAUGCAUUGAUGGUAGCAUCUCUCACAAGGAGAAUGAAUUCUUAUUAUCUCCAUUUAGAGAAGAAGAGAUUUGGAUGGCAUUAAAAGGGAUGGGGCCCACCAAAGCACUAGGACCGGAUGGGUUUCCAGCAAUGGUUUUUCAAAAGUAUUAGCAUAUUGUAGGUAAGGAUAUCAUUGAUUUCUGUUUGGGGAUUCUGAAUAAUAACAAAGAGGUGGCGUCAUUGAAUAACACGAACAUUAUGCUUAUUCCAAAACUUCCAAAUCCCACUAAACUUGCGAAUUUCAGACCCAUCAGCCUAUGCACAUUCAUGUACAAAAUCGUGGCAAAAACGCAAGAGGUCAUUGGUAAACGUGUUGACAAGGUACAGAGUGCUUUUGUCCUGGGAGACUCAUCUCAGACAAUGUGAUUUUAGCUUAUGAAUUUUUUCACACUUUCCGACAAAACCGUACAGGGAAAAAAAGAUUUAUGGCAGUGAAGCUGGACAUGAGUAAGGCAUAUGACAGAGUUGAGUGAAAUUUUAUAAAAGAAAUAAUGUUAAAAAUGAGGUUUGCAAGCGAAUGAGUCAGACUCAUAAUGAGAUGCAUUACAACAGUCUCUUACGCAGUUAAUAUUAAUGGUUAGAGGGGGUAGGCUUUUUCAACCGACUAGGGGGCUACGACAAGGUGACCCACUAAGUCUGUUUCUUUUUCUUAUAUGCAGUGAGGGUCAUUCAUUGUUGUUGAGAAUCGCGAAGCAUGAGAACGGUUGAAGGGCGUAAAAGUUAGUAGGAGAGGGCCAGAGCUAACUCACUUAUUAUUCGCAGAUGAUUGCAUGAUGUUUGGUGAAGCAACACUAAAGGGGGCAAUAAUUCUAAAGGAUAUACUCAAGGAAAAUGAAAGCUGUUCAGGUCAAUGUGUGAACUUUGGAAAAUCAACGAUUUUUUAUAGUUCGAUUACUACAGAUGACAGAAAAGAAGAAGUGUCUUCAUUGCUAGGAGUUAGGAUCUCACCAAAUCCAGAAAAGUACCUGGGACUUCCCAAUGUGGUUGGUACACGGAAAAAAGAGUCGUUUCAGAAUUUAUUGGACAAAGUAUCCGUGCGAUUGGAAGGUUAGAGCACUAGAUUUUUGUCCCAAUGGGGCAAGGAGGUAUUUAUCAAAUUAGUAUUAUAGGCUGUACCAACAUAUACUAUGUCCUAUUUUCUCCUACCUAACACUUUAUGUGGGAGGUUUGAAAGCAUUUUCACUAAGUUUUGGUGGCAAAAAGGGUUUGGGAAGAGAGGAAUCCAUUGGUGUCAGUGGAAACAUUUGUGUCGACCUAAAAAUGGAGGAGGAUUGGGGUUUAGGAAUAUGGCCCAAUUCAACAUAGCUCUUUUGGCAAAACAAGGAUGGAGACUCCUAGUUAAUCCAAAUUCAUUAGUUGCGCAAGUUUUGAAAGCAAAGUAUUUUACAGAAAAUGAUUUUAUUAAUUCGAGGUUGGGGAAUCAGAGUUUGUAUGCAUAGUGCAGUAUAUGGGCGGCGAAGGGUUUAUUGGAGAAAGGCCUAAUUUGGAAGGUUGGUACGGGUACUAGUAUUUCAAUUAGAAAUGAUAUAUGGAUUCCAGAUUUUAGGAGUUUAAGGUUAUCGACCGUUAAUGGUGAUUUGCGUGUUGAUUUAGUUGCUGAGCUAAUCAAUAAUAAUGAAAGAAAUUGGAGUAGAGAACUGAUAGCCAAUACCUUCCCAGAAGAAGUAGCUGAACUGAUCCUUCAUAUCCCUUUGGCGAUGGAACCUCAUAGUGAUUUUCUGGCUUGGACCGGAGAACCUUCAGGAGAGUAUACAGUUCGGAGCGCCUACAAACUAUUACAAAGUGGGGAUCCUAGAGCUUAUGCUGUACAGAACGUCUAUAGUGGUUUUUACAAAAAAAACUUUGGUGCCUAGAUCUACCUACUAAGAUUAAAAUUACAAUUUGGAAAAUUACUUGGAACUAUCUGCCUACUCGGGUAAACAUGCAACUUAGGAGACCAGCAAACAACACAACAUGCUCUCGAUGUGGUGUGGAAGUAGAAACAAUGGAUCACCUGUUUCGCAAAUGCUAUGUGUCAGUGGCAGUGUGGGAAACACUGCCUGUAUUUAAUUUUACACAGUGAACCUAGAGUUUGAGUAGUGGCUUACCUAAGUGUUUGACUCUCUCUCAUGAUCAGUGUAGAAUUUUCUGUAGUGCGCUUUGGGUCAUUUGUGGAGACCGAAACGCUCGGAUACAUGAAAACACAAACAGACCAGGUCAGGAGAUAGCAAAAUAUGUUCCAAGUUACCUACAAGAACUGAAGGGGGCUGGUAGAAAUACCCAUAUUACUCCUAAUGUUGAAAUUAAGUGGACUCAUCCAUCUGGGUAGGCUGUUAAAAUAAAAUUUGACGGGGAUUUUAACGAGAGGAAUCACCAAUCGGCGUCAGGAAUUGUGGUCAGAGACAGUAAGGGCCUCGUUAUCAUUUCUUGUUCAGAACUCCACAGAGGGGUGGCUUCUCUUCUUGCUGCGGAAGCUCUAGCUUGUCGAAGGGCUACCCAGAUUGGCCUCGAAAUGCAAAGAUCAGAAGCCAUUAUAGAAGGUGAUUCACUAUCGAUAAUAAAGAAAUGCAAGGAAAUAAAGCUAGAUAAAUCGCAAAUAGGGGCUUACAUUCACGAUAUUCAAGAGAUGAAGUCUAGAGCCCGUAAGUUAAGAUUUGAGUAUAUCCCAAGAUCAGCGAAUGGUCUAGCCCAUAUUUUAACAACAGAAUCGCUGAAGAGGAAAGAAGAGAUGUAUCUGAUUGAAAGUUUACCAGGUUAUGCAGAAGGUCUGAUGAGAAGGGAGAGGGUAAAAGAACCAGAUUGAAGAAAUAAAGAGAAGGAAGAAAGGGGAAGAGUCUCAAAACAAAACAGAUCAGUAGUCUUUGUGAUAAGACCCCCUUGGGAACUGACGUCGCCAUUAAAGAUAGAAGUGACAGAUGAGAUGGAAAGUCAGGCGUCAGAAUAUCUGAUUGGGCAAGUAGGCAGUGGCUUAAAUGACUUCUUUAGAUUUUUCUCUUAGAAGUAGAUCUGUUUUUUUUUCUUGUUAAUGAUUUAUUUAGUUUCUUUUCAAAGUGGAUUGGUUUUUUCACGGGCCAAAUUUUGUCUUGGG